UACGAAGGGGGGCUAGCGUUGUUCGGAAUUACUGGGCGUAAAGCGUGCGCAGGCGGCUUCUCAAGUCAGGGGUGAAAGCCCAGAGCUCAACUCUGGAAUUGCCUUUGAGACUGAGUGGCUUGAGUCCGAUAGAGGUGGGUGGAAUUCCUAGUGUAGAGGUGAAAUUCGUAGAUAUUAGGAAGAACACCGGUGGCGAAGGCGGCCCACUGGAUCGGUACUGACGCUGAGGUGCGAAAGCGUGGGGAGCAAACAGG
rnacentral:rRNA from 1 species